GACGAACGCUGGCGGCGUGCCUAAUACAUGCAAGUAGAACGCUGAAGGAGGAGCUUGCUUCUCUGGAUGAGUUGCGAACGGGUGAGUAACGCGUAGGUAACCUGCCUGGUAGCGGGGGAUAACUAUUGGAAACGAUAGCUAAUACCGCAUAAGAGUAGAUGUUGCAUGACAUUUACUUAAAAGGUGCAAUUGCAUCACUACCAGAUGGACCUGCGUUGUAUUAGCUAGUUGGUGAGGUAACGGCUCACCAAGGCAACGAUACAUAGCCGACCUGAGAGGGUGAUCGGCCACGCUGGGAAUGAGACACGGCCCAGACUCCUACGGGAGGCAGCAGUAGGGAAUCUUCGGCAAUGGACGGAAGUCUGACCGAGCAACGCCGCGUGAGUGAAGAAGGUUUUCGGAUCGUAAAGCUCUGUUGUAAGAGAAGAACGAGUGUGAGAGUGGAAAGUUCACACUGUGACGGUAUCUUACCAGAAAGGGACGGCUAACUACGUG
rnacentral:rRNA from 1 species